rnacentral:rRNA from 1 species
UACGGGAGGCAGCAGUGGGGAAUAUUGCACAAUGGGCGCAAGCCUGAUGCAGCCAUGCCGCGUGUAUGAAGAAGGCCUUCGGGUUGUAAAGUACUUUCAGCGGGGAGGAAGGCGAUGCGGUUAAUAACCGCGUCGAUUGACGUUACCCGCAGAAGAAGCACCGGCUAACUCCGUGCCAGCAGCCGCGGUAAUACGGAGGGUGCAAGCGUUAAUCGGAAUUACUGGGCGUAAAGCGCACGCAGGCGGUCUGUUAAGUCAGAUGUGAAAUCCCCGGGCUUAACCUGGGAACUGCAUUUUGAAACUGGCAGGCUUGAGUCUUGUAGAGGGGGUAGAAUUCCAGGUGUAGCGGUGAAAUGCGUAGAGAUCUGGAGGGAAUACCGGUGGCGAAGGCGGCCCCUGGGACAAAGACUGACGCUCAGGGUGCGAAAGCGUGGGGAGCAAACGAGGAUUAGGAUACC